rnacentral:lncRNA from 1 species
UCAACCCAGUUUUUCCAUGAGAGUCCACCAUACCUACCUAUGGAUUGAAGAAGAUCCCUCAAGUAUGUUGUCAUUGGUGCAAGCAAUAAAAAUUGCUCCCUAAAAAUGUAUGAUCUAUUAGUGUGUGGAAAAGAAGCUUUGUACGAACCUGUGAUGAGGAAGACAUUAAAGCGACAGACUGCAUAAUAAAGUUCUUUAUCACAGGAGGCAAUAUAAUGUGACGUUCCUUCACACUAAGAGGACACACAUCCAAACCUCAAAAGCUCAUGACAACCUCUGCUUCCCUCUGUGAAGGGCCUAUCUUGUACCAUUACUUUUUGCCCUUGAAAGAGUCAUGGUGAUCUACACCAAUUCCUUAUUUCGCCUUUUUCUUGGCUAACGUCAUAUGCUAGGGAAAGAUCUAUAUUCAUAUGUCAACUUGGAAGUAAGUAUUCAUGAAUUAUUAUUGUUGACAUUACCCUUGAGGUAAAUAGUUGGGAGGGGAAACUAUAAGCCCCUAUCUUUCUCUGUGUCCGACUGAAACUUUGAUCUCACGAGUACCACGUUGGUUGUAGCAAUUGUAGAAGACGAAAGGAUGACUGAGUAUGUGGGUUUGAUUUACAAGCUCUUACUUGACUCUUUCUAAUGUUAUGAUAAAUUGCAAUUGCUUCAAUAACUAAAGGCUAUCGGUUGUUAAUUCUCGAUAAGGUUCUUGAUCCAUACUUUACUUUGUGAAGGAAUUAUCACUUUAGCAUAAGAGAUUAUAUGUUGUUAUUGUUGUUCUAACUAUGAUCAUGAUGCCUGCAUGUCCAUAUCUUGUUUUGUCAACACCUCUCUCUCUAAACACGUGGGCAUAUUUAUUGAUCUCGGCUUUCGCUUGAGGACAAGCGUGGUCUAAGCUUGGGGGAGUUGAUACGUCCAUUUUGCAUCAUGCUUUUCUGUUGUUAUUUAUCCCUUUAUGGGCUGUUAUUACACUUCACGGUACAAUACUUAUGCCUUUUCUCUCUUAUUUUGAAAGGUUUACAUGAAGAGGGAGAAUGCCGACAGUUGGAAUUCUGGCCUGAAAAAAGGAGCAAGUUUGAGAUACCAAUUCUGCGCAAGUCCAAAAGCCGUGAAAAUCAACGACGAUUUAUUUUGAAAUUUAUAAAAAAUAAUGGGCCGAAGAAGUACCAUAGGGGAGACAGUAGGAGGCCACAAGCCUGCUAGGUGUGGCCCACCCCCCUGCCGCGCCUAGGGGGCUUGCGGGCUCCCUGUUGGCCCUCUGGCCCCCCUCUUUUUCUAUAAGGAGGGUUUCGUUCCAGAAAAAAAUCUAGAGGAGGCUUUCGGGAGGAAUCGCCGCCGACAUGAGGAGGAACUUGAGCAGAACUAAUCUAGAGCUCUGGCACGGUCGUCCUACCGGGGUAACUUCCCUCCCGGAGGGGGAAAUCGUCGCCAUCGUAAUCACCAACACUCCUCUCAUCGGAGAGGAUUCAUCACCAUCAACAUAUUCAUCAGCACCAUCUCAUCUCCAAACCCUAGUUCAUCUCUUGUAACCAAUCUCCGUCUCACGACUCCGAUUGGUACUUCUAAGGUUGCUAGUAGAGUUAAUGACUCUUUGUAGUUGAUGCUAGUUGGAUUACUCGGUGGAAGAUUAUAUGUUCAGAUCCUUUAUGCUAUUCAAUACCUCUCUGGUCAUGAAUAUAAUUAUGCUUUAUGAGUAGUCACUUUUGUUCCUGAGGACAUGGGAUAAGCCUUGCUAUAAGUAGUCAUAUGAAUUUGGUAUUCGUUCGAUAUUUUGAUGCGUUGUAUGUUGUUUUUCCUCUAGUGGUAUUAUGUGAACGUCGACUACAUAACACUUCACCAUUAUUUGGGCCUAGAGGAAAGCAUUGGGAAGUAGUAAGUAGAUGAUGGGUUGCUAGAGUGAUAGAAGCUUAAACCCUAGUUUACGCGUUGCUUUGUAAGGGGCUGAUAUGGAUCCACUAGUUUAAUGUUAUGGUUAGACUUUGUCUUUUCUUUUGUAGUUGCGGAUGCUUGCGAGAGGGGUUAAUCAUAAGUGGGAGGUUUGUCCAAGUAAGGGCAACACCUAAACAUCGGUCCACCCACAUAUCAAACUAUCAAAGUAGCGAACGCGAAUCAUAUGAACAUGAUGAAAACCAACUUGACAGAAAUUCCCAUGUGUCCUCGGGAGCGCUUUACCUCCUAUAAGAGUUUUUCCAGGCUUGGACCUUGCUACAAAAGGGAUUGGGCCACUUUGCUGCACCGUUGUUACUAUUGUUACUUGCUACUUGCUCCGAAUCAUCUUACCACACAAUUAUUUGUACCGAUAAUUUCAGUGCUUGCACAAAAUACCUUGCUGAAAACCAUUUGUCAGAUCCUUCUGCUCCUCGUUGGGUUUGACACUCUUACUUAUCAAAAGGACUACGAUAGAUCCCCUACACUUGUGAGUCAUUAGUUCACUAGGAUCACUAGUUCCAUAAUGUUCCCAAUGAUAAACAAAGGUGAUUGAAGCACAAUAGGGGUUCUCGCAACCCAUGUGUUAAACACGUUGUUACAGGUUUGGUGUAGGGUAACAUGUGAGGUAUAGUUGCACCUAGGGAAGGGUUUCCAAUAUCAAGGAAUAAACAUAACUCUACGGGGUUACACUUGGUUGGGUGGGUUGUUACAAAAGUCUUCACUGCUAGUCAUUUGUCUAGGUUCAUCCUUGGUGCAUCUUGUCUUCCUGGUCUUUUGUUGACAAGAUGGGGGAGAGGGAAAGUAGCAUAGAGGGCAGUUGCAAGUGCAAUCAAACUAGUGUCAAAAAGGCCAAACACAAUCAUUUAGAUAAUGCAGGAGAUAUAAUCACGUACUUAUUACCUAGGGCAAACCUGCGACUUAUACACAAACAGAUAAAAUGAGCAAACCACAACAUGAUUCCAUUCGAACCAUCACACAGACUCGACUCCGCAUAGUGGAUACGUUACUUAUCCUACCCUAGGGGUUCUUGGACUUAUUAGUCAUGCUUGCUUCAUGUCUUGGAGAGAAGUUCGCUCAGUCUUCUGGGUCGUCCUCAGCUGUUGCUAUGUCUCUUUUCGUUGUUCGUAGAAACGAUCUGGGUUGAGUCUGAAAGAGUCCUUGGCAAUUUCUCAUCUAGUGUGUUGUCGGGCGAAGGUGGUUCCUCUUGGCUCUUGUUGACAGGGUCUUCUAUUGUCUUCGUAAUCAUGACAAUGCCUUCUUGUCUCCCAAGUCGUCGAGAGUUCCAACCAGAUAAUAAUUUAUGUAGUGACAUCAAUAAGGCAUGAUAGAGUUCCAACAUGUUGGUUGUAUUGACGACAAUAUCGACACUAAGAGUGGGGGAUGAAGAGAACAGUUUUCCUGCUCAAUAUGGUGAGGCACACCAAAAGGCGAGGUUCUCAUCCACCCGUGGACAUCGACAGAACAAUGGUAAGGACAAGGUCGCCCUAUUAGCGAUGCAUAUCAUGAUCUUGCAUAUCUUAUGGCCCGAUCCUCGUAGGCCAAGGUUGCAUCAUUCUGGGGCAGUAUCGAGGGUGUCACCAUCUUGCAAGUCUUGACGUCUUCAUUCCUACAUAAUGUAUCUUAUGGUUGUAUCGUCUUGUUACGGUGUUGCAAAGAUUGAUUUCAAGAGAUGUGGGAAAACGUCUUACGAGGUGGCUUCCUUCGAGGUUACCCACGAGGAUUACAAGGAAUCAAGUGGUCGGGGACAUAAGGGUAAUAUCGACCAUUCACGAGGUUCUGAAAAACUAGAUGAGGAGAGCCAUGAGAAAAAGUGUCACGCCCCCAAAAUUUAACCAUAUAUGUAUUAAUUAAAAAAUUUCAUAAAAUAAAAAAAUUGAAAAAUAAUUUGCCUCAUUGUUCAUUUCGAAGGCUCUUACCAAAAACUUUUCGCUCCAAGUAGUACUUUUGAAGAUCAUUGUGUGCUUGAGGAAUUGUUUGAGAUUAUUUUAUUCAUCUUAUUAAUUUAAUGUGAGAUUUUUUUAUAAUAAAAUAUUCCAGAUUCAAAUCCUUUAAAGACAUUUUCAUUCUUUUAAGAACCUGUGUUGCACUACAACCAUUUCAUAAAGUCAUUUAAAAAUUCGACAAAAUUUUGGAGGUGUCAAGGGAUACAUGUGAGCCACUUUUAUUAAAAAACAUAUUUGUGUUAUUUGGAAAUUUUGAGCAAAGCAACCCUUUUUCUAUUCUAGACCGGCUUGGCAAUUUGAACUGCAACCCUAUUUUUGGUUGCCCUUUUGGCCAUGAAAUUUUUCCUUCUUGAGGCUCAUCCAACCAAACCCUUAAGUCCAAGAUUUUACACUACUCGAAUCAGAGAAUUUGCCAUCAGUCCAAUCUUUACAGUUUGCUAGCGUAUGCCAAAGAUUGUCUUUGCCGUUCGCUGCCCAAAAGCCGACGACAAAAAAGGGACUCAUGGCAAAGAUGUUAUUUGCCAUCAGUUCAUUCUUUAAUGUCUACUAGGAGACUUGGUCAUCUGCAAAAAAAAUACACACGACAAAGCGCUCAUUUUGCCAUCUGUCAAAAAUACAGCAAAGUGAGCGAUUUGCCGUAUGUGUUUUCUUUUGGAAACGGCAAUGCUUCGCCGUCUGUUUUUUUAUUGUGGGCAAAAUGAAAGUAUAACCUUUUUUAUUAUUUUUUAAAUGUAAACAAGGUUUGAAGAAUAUGAAAUUUGAUGUGGUAUUGGUUUCAAGAAUUUACUAAGUAUUAAUAUGUUUAUUUUGUCAAAAGUCAUUGGAUAUAUAAAUACAAAUUUAUUGCUACAUUUCUAUUGGUUGGAACCUCAUUCCUAUGGAUUAAUGACGUGGCAGGGCAUCCACCCCACCACACAUCGAAUUUGGGCAAAAUCGACAAAUUUCGCCUCUAGAUCCAAAAAAUUCACAAACAGGACUGUGGUCGAUUUUCUUCCACUUAGGUGACCCUUUUAUGUGGUACCCGACGCUUAGACUUCAUACUACAUUUUAUGACGCCUUAGCCAUAGUCGCUACACCCCCGACAACGCUGAUGUUGCUGGACCCACCUCCAGAAGUGUGACGCCUAAACCUCAGGUGUUGCAUUUGCCGUAGUGUGACGCCGAGCGUUCAAGCGUCACACCCUUACUUAUCCAGAGUGCUGGCCGGCUUCGAGCUGCAUAUAGGCUGCGACGGAGGGAAGGGAAGGGGCGCAUAUGCCGCGCCUGACUCGGCGAAUGAUAUCCGGGCGGACACCGGCAGCAGGCCGAGGCUGGUCCCGAGCAGCUGUAGGGUGGCCAGCGGCGACUGCGAUUCUGCGAAAGCUAGCGGCAGGCAGGCAGGUUGACCCACCUGCCUUUGCCCCGUCCGCGGCGGCUCGGGGAGCAAGAAAAGGCAAAAUUGUAAUACAUGAAAGAAACAGCCACCAAAAACUGCAGCAAACUCUACUCGAUCGAUGCCCAGCCUGCCUUUCACGCAAGGCACAGCAAUAUCCCUUCUAUUUUUCAGUUUAGAAGGACACAAAAUAAAUUCUCUAGCUAAGAUCUUGGUGCUGCUAAUACACAGACGAUUGGGCCAUUAGUUGCCUAUUAGUUGCCUGCUCCACUCUGCCAUUAUAUUGCACAGACAUGAUGCAUGCCUACCAAACGAGCACGGCCAAUCUAGUCCUCCUCCAUCUUCAGCAAUAUUGUUUUUACACACGCAUUAGCCAUGCUACUUGCUGCCUGGAUUAGCUACCGUCUCAAACGAACUAACUGAUCAUCCAGUUAAACAUAUGCUGCAACGUAGAUAGAUAGGGCACUCACAGUCUCAGUCGGUGGUAUUUCACUGCACCAUACAGCACGCCUCUUACGCCGAGCUCUAAUGGCUCGUCAACGACAACCGCGACGCCGACGCGUACCCAUUGAUGCAGUUGUGGCGGCUCGGGGAGCAAGAGGGCGUGCCGCCCGUCAACUGCGUCGCACUCAGCAGCCUCGCCAGCUUCGUGCUGUGCAUCGCGGAGGAGCUCCGUGUGCCAUCUUGGGCACCAGCGCCGUCGGCUUCGUCUGCACGCUCCGCCUGCGCCAGCUCAUGCACAGAGGAUACAUGCCACUCGAAGCCGGCCAGCGCUGUGGAUAAGGGUGUGAC